GAUGAAGAACGUAGCGAAAUGCGAUACGUAAUGUGAAUUGCAGAUUUCAGUGAAUCAUCGAAUCUUUGAACGCACAUUGCGCCCGCCAGUAUUCUGGCGGGCAUGCCUGUCCGAGCGUCAUUUCAACCCUCGAACCCCUCCGGGGGGUCGGCGUUGGGGAUCGGCCCUGCCUCUUGGCGGUGGCCGUCUCCGAAAUACAGUAGCGGUCUCGCCGCAGCCUCUCCUGCGCAGUAGUUUGCACACUCGCAUCGGGAGCGCGGCGCGUCCACAGCCGUUAAACACCCAACUUCUGAAAUGUUGACCUCGGAUCAGGUAGGAAUACCCGCUGAACUUAAGCAUAUCAAUAAGCGGAGGA
rnacentral:misc_RNA from 1 species